rnacentral:rRNA from 1 species
AUUGAACGCUGGCGGCAGGCUUAACACAUGCAAGUCGAGCGGGGUGAUGGUGCUUGCACUAUCACUUAGCGGCGGACGAGUGAGUAAUGCUUAGGAAUCUGCCUAUUAGUGGGGGACAACAUCUCGAAAGGGAUGCUAAUACCGCAUACGUCCUACGGGAGAAAGCAGGGGAUCACUUGUGACCUUGCGCUAAUAGAUGAGCCUAAGUCGGAUUAGCUAGUUGGUGGGGUAAAGGCCUACCAAGGCGACGAUCUGUAGCGGGUCUGAGAGGAUGAGCCGCCACACUGGGACUGAGACACGGCCCAGACUCCUACGGGAGGCAGCAGCGGGGAAUAUUGGACAAUGGGGGGAACCCUGAUCCAGCCAUGCCGCGUGUGUGAAGAAGGCCUUAUGGUUGUAAAGCACUUUAAGCGAGGAGGAGGCUCUUUUGGUUAAUACCCAAGAUGAGUGGACGUUACUCGCAGAAUAAGCACCGGCUAACUCUGUGCCAGCCGCCGCAGUAACAC